rnacentral:lncRNA from 1 species
CAAACACGUAGAGUCAUGACUUAACACGAUGCCUAGAUCGGAAGUACAUGCCGUACCCGGAGGUACCAUUAGAUAUACAAAUAUUAACAUAAAUCUUCAUUUGCUAGAAACUUAUAACUUAACACGAAUUAACACUUUGCACCUCUACCUACCUUGAUUGAUGCUUUAAACCUUGUUGAAAAAUGCACUCCUUUGAUGUUUAAAAAAAAACACUCCGUUAAGAAUUGAUGCUUGGAAAACACUUCUUGAUAGCACCAAAACUUCUAGGAAAAACUAAUUUUCCUCCCUCUCCUUUCUCUUUUUUUUUUCUAAACUUGAAAACUCUCUCUUUUAUGCUUAAAAGCUUUUGUAUUGGUGUGAAAAAUGUAUAUGCAUUGGGGCCUAUUUAUAGGUGAAAAUCUCACAACUUAAGGGCAAGUGAAGGGCCUAAUAUUCAUUAAUACGGGUGCCAUUUAUGUGGGAGUUAUAGGUUUAAGAAGGUGCUAGAAAAUCGUGUAGGAAUUUGACUUUUCAUAUUCCGCGUACUUCGGUUCAGACUGUACAUCCUUUAAUAUUUCUAUCAUAACAUUUUCUCCCGUUAUCUGAUUGAGGUAAUUCAAAAUGCGUUGGAAAGCUAACUCAAAGAGUUACAACUUUUCUUUAGAUAUCAUUUUCCAAAUCGAAUGUUUUCUAUGCCAUAAAUGGGUCUCAAAUGAGACUAAAAAUCUGAAAUAUACUUUAGUCAUCCAAUAUUCAUGUCCACUAAGGUGUUUAAAAUUAUUUGGGGUUCUACAAUGGGACUUGGUUCCGUGAUGUAAGUUUUAUUGUACGUACAUUUGAUGUUUUAAUGAAACUCUUAUUCAGUUGAUGUUUUCUCAUUCGUUUUGUGCACAUGUUUGUAUAUUCAUGUACCUUGAGAAAUAUCAUUAAAACUAGACCUUGAAUAAACAUAGGAUUUAUUCAUUAUGUUAUAUGGGCUGGUGUUUAAGAGACAUGAUUCAUUGUGAUACAUGAAAGAUAAUACUCGUUUUACAGGACCUAUCAUUAAUCAUAUAUUAUGUUUCUUAUUAUGACAAAUGAUGGUAUAUAUGGACCAAGUGGGAGAAUGUUGGAUUAUAACCAACUUAAGAGUGGUCAACAUAUUCCAUGUCCUACUACUUCAGCAGUUAACCCAAUGUUUCAAAAAUCACGUUUGAUAACCACCCAUAUCAGAGGACAUGCAAGAAAACUGCUCUGUGAUAGGUAGAGCAUUUAUAAAAGACAUUAAAAUUCAUUCGGAAGGUCCCUAAGCUCAUUUUCAAGUUUAGUCUGCAUACACCAUCUAAACAGUGAGAAAGAGGGCUUAGAAGAGUUUUAACCUGAAGUUAAACAUCACCUACAAGCUCGAGAAAGUGUGUGAACAACGACAAUGGCGGGAGGUACGUUUUUUGAUCAAAUUUAUUCCGCAUUGAUCUAAAUGUUAUUUUGUUGAUUAAAGCAUGUUUAGAUCGCUUAAGUGGACUUUGCAUUAUUUCUCCAAAGCUGCCACUAAUUGAAAAAAAAAAAAAAAAAAAAAUUGGUCUUUGUAUCUGUGUCUCUCUCCUUUGUGCUAUAGUUUUCUUGUGUAUAUUUUUCUGUAAUUUCAGCAGCAAGCAGCCCUUUAUUUCCUCAGUUGCUGCCUCUAUUUUUGUGUAUUUAUUCUUAUUUAUAUACACAAUUGAUUUCAGCAGUAGACAGCCGCUGAUCGCCUUCAAAUACUACCUCUUUUCUCCAAUUCAACAACUGUCGACUCGUAUCCCCAUGUGCGUGUCUACACACCCACCACAGCAAGCAACCUUUUUCUUUUGCAAAUUCAGCCCCAAUUCUGGUUUAUUUUCAGCCUUUUUUGGUUUCUCAGGGAGCCCACCAAACCACUAAGAAUAAAUGUGUUUGGCCCAAUAAAAAUCCUAGUAAGUAUUCCUUUUUGAGGAAAUUAGGCACAAUACCCUAAAAAAUUAACUAAAUUGAUUAAUUAAAUCAAUAGAGAACGUAUUAAAUACGUUAUAAAAAUCAAUAGAGAACGUAUUAAAUACGUUAUAAAAAUCCCCAAGUCACCCAUAUAUCUUUCAUCAGAUUCUUGUUGCAAAAAAAUAAUAGCCACCACAGUGUAAUCAAAUUUUGCCUACUCUCAACCUCAUUUCUCCCCAUUAAUGGCCAGAAUAGUAUACCCAAAUCUCAUUUCUUCAAUUUCAUCACUACAACCGAUGCCUUCACUACGGUUCCAAUGACCAAAUCUUUCAAAUUCUUCAAAGAUCUUUAAACGGCGGAUGAUUUUCAUGCUAAUGUGGUUUUCAGUAGUGGCGAAGUGGGAAUGUUGUGGUGGUGGUGUUGAUGCUACUUAUGGUGGUGGUUGUGAUGGUUUGGGGCUGCUACGAUUUUCAACAGGGAUGGCGUUGGGGUGUGGUGGUGUUGAUGCUGCCUGUGGUGGUGGUAGUAGUGGUUUGGGACUACUAUGGUUUUCAACAGUGGUGGCAUCAAGGUGUGGUGGUGGUUUCUUUGUUGGGGGUUUUAGGUGAUUUUUGUUGGUUGUGCAAUAAUUGUGCUGGCUUGAGUAUAGUUGAAGAAGAAAGGACCCAAUAUUUUCAAGGUCUUGAUAAGCAUAUAAUUCCUUUAUAAUUUCAUUUUCAGUAGAGAGUGGGGUCAAUGAAGAUAAAGAAUAGUGCGGAACAGCUAACGUGUUUGGAGGAAGCGGUGGUUGGACUAAACCAGCAAAAUGGUGUGGUCUUUCUUUCCCAGUAUUAGAUAUACCCAAGUGUGCAUGGAUGUGAGUAUCAGUUGUGAAGUUUGUGUGACUUGUGUAAAUGCAUGAACCUUGACAUGGACAAAUUAGAUGCCAAAACGUGUUGAAUGAUUUGUUUUAAGGAUUCGUUUGAUUUUGAGAAAUAAAAAAUUAUCUUUGAAAUUAGAAUAUUAGUGUUUGUGGCACUUUUUUUUUUUUAAUCUUGUUAUUUUUUGAGUCUUG